CGGUAAUACAGAGGGUGCAAGCGUUAAUCGGAAUUACUGGGCGUAAAGCGCGCGUAGGUGGUUCGUUAAGUUGGAUGUGAAAUCCCCGGGCUCAACCUGGGAACUGCAUUCAAAACUGUCGAGCUAGAGUAUGGUAGAGGGUGGUGGAAUUUCCUGUGUAGCGGUGAAAUGCGUAGAUAUAGGAAGGAACACCAGUGGCGAAGGCGACCACCUGGACUGAUACUGACACUGAGGUGCGAAAGCGUGGGGAGCAAACAGGAUUA
rnacentral:rRNA from 3 species